rnacentral:rRNA from 1 species
CAUAAGGGAGGAAAAGAAACUAACAAAGGAUUCCCCUUAGUAACUGCGAAGUGAAAGCGGGAAAAGCUCAAAUUUAAAAUCUGGCAGUCUAUGGCUGUCCGAGUUGUAAUCUAGAGAAGUGAUGCCCGCGCUGGACCGUGUACAAGUCUCCUGGAAUGGAGCGUCAUAGAGGGUGAGAAUCCCGUCUCUGACACGGACUACCAGGGCUUUGUGGUAUGCUCUCAAAGAGUCGAGUUGUUUGGGAAUGCAGCUCUAAAUGGGUGGUAAAUUCCAUCUAAAGCUAAAUAUUGGCGAGAGACCGAUAGCGAACAAGUACCGUGAGGGAAAGAUGAAAAGAACUUUGGAAAGAGAGUUAAACAGUACGUGAAAUUGCUGAAAGGGAAACGCUUGAAGUCAGUCGUGUUAGCUGGGAAUCAGCCUUGCUUGUUGCUUGGUGUACUUUCUGGUUGACGGGUCAGCAUCAAUUUUGACUGCUGGAAAAAGGCCUUGGGAAUGUGGCAGCUUUGGCUGUGUUAUAGCCCUUGGUCACAUACAGCAGUUGGGAUUGAGGAACUCAGCACGCCGCAAGGCCGGGUUUCGACCACGUUCGUGCUUAGGAUGCUGGCAUAAUGGCUUUAAGCGACCCGUCUUGAAACACGGACCAAGGAGUCUAACAUGCCUGCGAGUGUUUGGGUGGUAAACCCUUGCGCGUAAUGAAAGUGAAAGUUGAGAUCCCUGUCGUGGGGAGCAUCGACGCCCGGACUUGAACUUUUGUGACGGAUCCGCGGUAGAGCAUGUAUGUUGGGACCCGAAAGAUGGUGAACUAUGCCUGAAUAGGGUGAAGCCAGAGGAAACUCUGGUGGAGGCUCGUAGCGAUUCUGACGUGCAAAUCGAUCGUCAAAUUUGGGUAUAGGGGGCGAAAGACUAAUCGAACAU